GAUGAACGCUGGCGGCGUGCCUAAUACAUGCAAGUCGAACGGGGAGUAGCAAUACUCUUAGUGGCGAACGGGUGAGUAACGCGUUGGUACCUGCCCCGAAGCGGGGGAUAACGGACCGAAAGGUCCGCUAAUACCCCAUGUGCUCGGUAACGAGUAAAGGUGAAAACCACUUUGGGAGGGGCCUGCGUCCCAUCAGCUAGUUGGUAAGGUAACGGCUUACCAAGGCGAUGACGGGCAGGGGACCUGAGAGGGUGGCCCCCCACAAUGGAACUGAAACACGGUCCAUACACCUACGGGUGGCAGCAGUAGGGAAUAUUGGUAAUGGGCGCAAGCCUGAACCAGCAACGCCGCGUGUGCGAUGACGGCCUUCGGGUUGUAAAGCACUUUUGACUGGGACGAGGAAGGACGGUACCGGUCGAAUCAGCCUCGGCUAACUACGUG
rnacentral:rRNA from 1 species